GAUGAACGCUGGCGGCGUGCCUAAUACAUGCAAGUCGAGCGAAGCGGGGACGGGGGAGUAACACGUGGCUAACCUCCUAUAAGACUGGGAUAACUUCGGGAAACCGGAGCUAAACCGGAUAAUUAUCGCUGGAUCCGCACUGCAUUAGCUAGUUGGUAAGGUAACGGCUUACCAAGGCAACGAUGCAUAGCCGACCUGAGAGGGUGAUCGGACAAACUGGAAAUGAGACACGGGCCAGACGCCUACGGGAGGCAGCAGGAGGGAAUCUUCCGCAAUGGGCGAAAGCCUGACGGAGCAACGCCGCGUGAGUGAUGAAGGUUUUCGGAUCGUAAAACUCUGUUAUUAGGGAAGCGGUAUCUAAUCAGAAAGCCACGGCUAACUACGUGCCAGCAGCCGCGGUAAUAC
rnacentral:rRNA from 1 species